rnacentral:rRNA from 1 species
AACUUCUGGCUUGGCGCGCGCGGCCCGGUUCGUUAUCGGACUGUGUGCCGUUGUGCGCCUGCCAUCCUUCUGAAGCGAGGCUGUGCCCUUCACUGGGUUGCAGUCUUGAUUCAGAUCUUUUACUUUGAAAAAAUUAGAGUGUUUAAAGCAGGCUUGCGCUAUGAAUACAUUAGCAUGGAAUAAUAAUUUAGGACUUCUGUUCUAUUUUGUUGGUUUCUAGGAUGGAAGUAAUGAUUGAUAGGGAUAGUUGGGGGUGCUAGUAUUCAGCGGCCAGAGGUGAAAUUCUUGGAUUCGCUGAAGACUAACUUAUGCGAAAGCAUU